AACAGCCUUUUAUGAACAGACAUAUAUGUUCCCAAAUGUCAAUUCAUGUCGUCAACCCACCUGCCUCUUCCGUACGCACAGCGCUUCAUUAAUUAUUAUUGACAGUGCCAUAGUGCCCGGAGGCCUCAGGCAGGAACAAGAUCUCCUAGCACAGCAUGCUGUACAAGCACAGGGUGAAAGACCAUCCCUGCCCUGAACAGCUUACCUUCUAAAAAGACAAGGUGGAGAAGGGGUGAAGUUUCCAAGCAUGAAGGUCAGGGCAAAGAUGGGAGCAAGUCAUGGUCUGGCUGGCCACCCCUGCUCUGGGGGAGGUGUAUGCAAAUAUACACCUUCCAGGUAUGCAAGAACUCAACCUUUUGAAGCUUCAAACUGAAGAGGGAACCUUUGUCUGACGAUCACCUGUUACAUGAGGACAAGACCAGAGUCCUAAACUGUAUAAAGGAAUGUCCCUCGGAUUCAUAGAGUGCGCUUGUUCUGAGUUAACAGCUGGUAUCAAUUCAUUACUAUAGAAAAAAACACUUGGUGGAGCUGAAGGACUGACUCCUACCACAGCCCUUCUUGGUGAUGGGUGAUCUUUGCUAAGCUUAUUAACAUAUAUAUCUACCAUCAAUCUUGGACAUUGAAGAACCUGGACCAUCGGACUCAUUUGGCAAGCCAGAGCCCUUUGACUCUUACCACUGGGUCCUCAAGGAAGGGUGUAAGUAUGCAGAUUUAAGAGCUUGUGCAAAGAAUGAUACCACAGAUAUCCCCAAUACUGGACUACUCCUGUCUUUUUAUGUGGC